UCGGGGAGUGGUGAUGGACGAGGAGGCCUGGUGUGCUGCAGUCCAUGGGGUCACAGAAAGUAGGACUCGACUGAGCGACUGCACUGAACUGAAAGCAAAGCUAGUGCAACACUGCUAUGUGCUAUGCUAUUCUAUGUGGUGCUGUGGGAAAGAGCAUGGAUUUUGGAGGCAGAGAGUCUUGGGUUACAAUCUCUGCUCUGUUCCACUAUCAUUCAUUUAUUUGGCAGAUAUUCAGUGCAUGCCUCCCACGUGGUCCUGCCUUGACAGACACUGCAGAAGCAGGGAGCAGGAAGUUGGAGCUGCUGGUUCAGUGAAUGAGCUUCUUGAACAAUAAACAGUAUUCCCUGAUGAUAAUAAACAUAGUAUAUAAUUAAAUGGCAGCUAAAAAUGCUACAAAGAAAGUAAAGGGUGAUGUGAUGUGCUUUAGAUAUAGGGAAUCUGGAAAAACCCUCUUCCAGAGGUAACAAUUGAGUGGAGAUAUAAAUGAAAUAAGAGAUUGCGUCCUGCAAAUAUCAGAGGAGAAAUGGACCAGAGAGUGUUCCUCAAAGCUCAAGCACAUUAGAAUUGCCGGGGGAGCUCUAAGGACAUCUCUCAGCCCUACUAGAGCCCCAUAUUGAAUGGAGUUGAAGUGGAGCUUGGAUGGUCCUUUUGAAAAGUUCCCGUUUCACAUAGAGGCUGAUUAUUCUGUCCUGUCUACUUUGGUGUGUUUGAAAUGUUUCAAAAUAAAAUAUGUUUUUGUUGCUUCUUUUUGUUUUUUAAUGUGAAAGCUUCCCAAGAGAUUUUAAUGAGCGUGCUGUGUUAUAAACCAUUGCAGUAGAGGGAACACUUAGUGCUAAGUUCCAGAGCCAGGCUGACCGUCCCUCAUUUUCCAGGAAGAGCCAGAAGAGCCAGAAGGACGCAGGAGGACCACAGUGAGCCUGGUGUUGGAGAGUGGCCAGGAGUCAGGCCCCACUCACUACAUAGGGGAUGUUGGCUGGCUGCUAUUUCAUUUUAAAAUCUCAGCUUCCUCAUUUGCAAAGCAAGUAUAAUUCUUGCUUUUUAGGAUCAUUGGCUUCUUACAAACAUUGAAUGAAAUGAUACAUGGCGGAGUGAUUCUUGACCUUGGGCACACACUAGGCUCAUCUGCAAAGCCUGUUAAAAUUCACAGUUAAUAUCCUAGUCCAUUUCAGAUUCAGUGCAUCGGGGUGGGACUUGAGAGUUGGCUUUACAUUUCUUUACUUCUCCUCCUUCUUCUUUUUAAAAUUUUAUUUUUAACAAAUGGCCAGGUGAUACGGAUGCCCCAUGGAUUAUACUCUGAGAACCAUUGGUGUUUGGGGAGCUUCUCACAUGGUGCCCAAGAUGCACCAUCCCACGUGGUGACGCUGAGGCAGGAGAGGGAAGAGUGAAAAGGAAGAAUAUCUUACGGUGAAAGUAAUGUCCACUCUAAGACUAACUCUUCCUGGUUUUUGAAUUGGUGGCCACUUGGGAGUGGAUGUGGUCCCCUGGAGAGAAGGGUCAUCGUGGUCACUUGCAAAAGCUUUCCCAGAGAUCUGCAGUCAGGUGUCCCUGGAGCUUUAGGCUGGAUCCUAUGCCAGUAGACACUGUGAUCUGCCAGUAGAUGGUGUGAAACUGGCAUGCAGAGGCUCAUGUCAUUGAUUUAGACCAAGAAAAUAUUGGUCUGGAAAGAUCUGACCGAGGGCUUGACUUCUUACGAUUUGAAACCAAGUGCCCGGCACUGCGAGAAGCGGCCACCUUUGUCCUUCGAAAGGUCUUCUCAUCAGUGAGUUUUGUGAAGAGCAGACAGUGCCUUCCCAGGGACUGUUCUACCCUGUGCUGUUGGCCUACUGAACUACUGAGAGCCUGGCGUGACCGGGAAAACUAGGUCCAGCCAUGCUGCGUCGAGAGAUACCGUGGCCUUUUGGAAGGAAGCAGAGAUUAAACUGCUAUGGAAACAAAUAUACCUCAAUGGGUGAGAAGCUCCCACUCUGAUUUCCCAGAUGGGAUCAUAAUCCGACUGGCAUCAUGGACCUCUUCACUUCUGGAUGACAGGACUGUUCUCCCUUUUCCCAUUUUCUAGGUACCAGCAUGAUUGAUGGAACAGUUGAUGCAUUCAGGACACUUACGGAGCCGUUAUUUACUAGUGGGUAGGACCAGCAUGGCUUAAAGCUGAGCACCAUAUGUAGCCUCCUUCUACUUUCUGCCACUGGUGGAGGUCAACUCUGUCUCUCUCUCUCUCUGUGUCUCUCUCCUGUUCCAUCGCCCCCAGUGUAACUGGACAGAUAAUGUUGGAACCUCAGCUGUCACUUCUCUCAGGAUGAGCUUGUGGUGUGAGGCAGCAUGAAGAUGCUGACCGAUUGCAAGGUGCUGGUCCAAGAUUUGAAGGCAUGCCUUAGUGGGGAGGGGUGAGUAGGAUCCCCCAUGCCUGUCUGUGGAUGUAAGUCAGACUUUGUAUUCCACAGCUGGUUUUGGGCUGUUUGAAUAUACCCUAGUAAGAAGAAACCUACAAAAUACUGCCUCAUGACCCAUUCAAGCACUUUUUCAGAACUUAUUGCAUGCCUGCAUUUUGGUGAUGCCUGAUGAAUAAGACAAAAGUUCAUACCUUCCAGAAGCCUUAAGACAAUAAAACAGGUACUUUUUAUGCAGUGUACAUCUGAGUUCCUGACCGGUACCAUAUUUUUUUUCUCCCUGAAAAGCUUCUUUUAACAUUUCUUCCAGAGCCAAGUCUGCUGCUGAUGAAUUCCCUGUUUUUGUUUGUCUGAAAAAGUUUUUAUUUCUUCACUUUUGAAGGACAGUUAGUUACAUUGGAUAUAGAAUUCUAGGUCAGUGAUUUAUUUUAUUCAAAAUAGUAUAUAUUUCACCCUACCUGCUUUUUUUUUGCAGAGUGGUUUCUGAUGAGAUGUCUACUAUAAUUAUCAUCUGUAUUCCUCUAUAAGUCAAGUGAUCACCCAUUCCUUCCUGCCAGCUUCUUUUAAGAUUUUCUUUUUCUCUUUGGUUUUCUGAAUUUGAAUAAGUUUUAUUUAAGAUUGUUGUUGUUUAUCCUGUAUGGUGUGCUCAAGAUCAGCAGAUUUACUAUGAAGAGUGGUCUGAGCUUAAAUGGUAAACCCACAUGUGAUUCAAAAUAAAAUAUAACAUAUUUGGGGUUUAUAAUACAAAGAUUCCUCUCUUGCAUGUGGAAUUGCAGUACAACUCUAGUAAUCCAGAGCUUUUCUGGACUGUAUGUUUUUAGAAGUGGUAGUGGCAAUGGUCUAAAGCAGGGAUUGCGAAUUUUUUUUUCUGUAAAGAGCCAAAUAGAAAAUACUUUAGGCUUUAUAGACUAAGAGGCUAUAUAUUGACUUAUGUAACCACUUAGAAAUCUAAAAACUAUUGUUAGCUUGUGGACUGUGAAAAAUACCCGGCAUGGCAGAUUCAGUAACUCCUGGUCUAAAAUACAGUUUUGGUGGUUAAUUGCUCUGAGGUUUUGGGAUUUAUGAACCUAUAGCCCUAGCUGAGUCUCAGCUUCCUCAUCUGUAAGCUGGAGAUAAUUCCUUUUCUGCCAGAUUUGUGCAGGGAUCCAAUGAGAGGAUACAUUUUGAAGCCCCUAGUAAAUUAAAUGGUGUUUGCUGAGUAGGGUGAUCUAUGUUCUACUCUACCCAUCAGGACCUGCAUUAUGCUUGUCCUGGUAAGACAUAUUACAUAAAGCUCUUUCACUCAGAACCAUCUGCUAGAAUGGUCAAUUACACGGUCGCCUUGGCCAUAGCUGUGUAUACUCUCCAGCUUGUGAUUCCUCUAAUUCUGUGUUGGGAGAGGUCAGUGGCACUUUGAGGCGGGAUCGUAGGCUGUGAACUCUGCUGUCACAUCGCUGGCUUCAAGUCCAGGUUCUUUUGCAACUAAUGAACUUCAGGUCAAGCUUGUUAGUUGUGUGACGUUGGAUGAGUUUCAUAAUCUUCUAGUGUUAACAGCUGUAUUUAUUGAGGUAUCAUUUAAGUACCUCAAAAUUUACUCAUUUUAAGUGUAUAGUUCACUAAUUUUUAGUAAGUUUAUGGAGUCAUGCAUCCCUCCCUGAGUCUAAUUUUCAAGUGUUUGUGUUAUCCCCAAAGAAACCUGUUCCCCCUGUGCAGUCAUCUCCUGUUCCCGUUCCCAGUCUUACACAACCACCAAGGUACCUGCUGUCUCUGCAGAUUUGCGUUUUUCUGGGUCGUCUGGGGCAGGAACACUGGGUUAGGGACUGGAAGGAACGUUUCCCAUCCAGGUUUUGCCAGCAGGAGUCAUCAGCUGACUUUUGAUGCAUCGCUGUCAUUUUUUACAUAAGGAUCUAAGACCCCUCCCAGCUCUGAGAGCCUGUGCCGUCUUUACUGAAAUUGUCAGCUUGUCAUUUGGAGCAGUGGCUUGGAGCAAGUGUGCAGAGAGUAGAGCCGUAUUAGAAGCCGUCGUGGGGAGAAGAGGGCACAGUGUCCUCCUCUCUCUGGCCGUCCCAAGAGCCAACUGUAGAACUCGAGCAAGAUGUCACCUCUCUGAGCUUCGUGUCAUAGGAUGUGACACCAGUGUCCCUAUUGAUACCACAGGGCUCUGUGAGAUCACACAAGAUAGUGAACAUAAAACUGGAAACCGCACUGUGUUUAGAGAAAUAAAUGUUAGCAUUAUUGAAAGAGUUUAUAGCAGGUCAGAGUGACUGGACGGCUUCCGGUGCAGAAUGCAUGGCAGGUGUAGUGAAGCUGACAGAUCACCAAGGCAAAUCCAUUCCAUGCUGAAAAGCCAAGUGUAAACCUGCCUGACUGUUUUCUCAGGCCCAAGGAUAUAGUGGGCCCAUGGUGGUGUUUUUUUUUUUUUCCGUGGUACAUAGUAGAAGGAGGUGGAACUUUCUGUAACAGAGUGUGUGAAGUUUCAGAUUUCUAUGCAAAAUUAAAUAUGCUUCUGGUUAAUGUCUAUUAAUUGUGUCCAUUAUCUCUUACUUCUCAUCCUUAACUAUUUGUUUUAGUAAUGCUUAUGCAUUUUUGUACCAUUUUAAUGAAUUUACGUAGUCAUAUUUGCUUGGAAAUGUUCAGAAGUCUGAUCAGUACUAUUUUGUCAGUCUACUUUAAUGUCAAGUAAAAAACAAACCUGGA